CAGAGCUGUGGUGUUACUGUUACCAGUGAAGAGAAGGGUUAUUUUUGCCUGAUAAUCCUUUACAGGAGUUUUUACUGAAAAUUGUUGUGUCAUCCUGACUGAGACUUAAUGCCAUCGACCCAACAUGAAAUGGUUGGCUCUGGUUGUUGCUGCUCUUUUGUGGAUCUCCCCAAGAGUGAGCAAUGAAAUGUGUAGGAAACUGAGCAAUUGUUUGGAAAGGGGAAACAAAGCGUAUGUUGUUUCUGACAAAUUCAACGACGUCAUCAAAGUUAAACCCAAAUGGGAGACAACGGAACAUGACUGCAUAAUAUUUCUGCAGAAAAACCCUAAAACACAACCUGCAA